UGAGGAAUAUUGGUCAAUGGGCGUGAGCCUGAACCAGCCAAGUAGCGUGCAGGAAGACGGCCCUAUGGGUUGUAAACUGCUUUUAUGCGGGGAUAAAGGAGUCCACGUGUGGAUUUUUGCAGGUACCGCAUGAAUAAGGACCGGCUAAUUCCGUGCCAGCAGCCGCGGUAAUACGGAAGGUCCGGGCGUUAUUCGUAUUUAUUGGGUUUAAAGGGGGCGUAGGCCGCGUUUUAAGCGUGUUGUGAAAUGUAGACGCCCAACGUCUGCAUCGCAGCGCGAACUGGGACGCUUGAGUACGCGCAACAUUGGCGUAAUUCGUCGUGUAGCGGUGAAAUGCUUAGAUAUGACGAGGAACUCCGAUUGCGAAGGCAGCUGACGGGAGCGGCACUGACGCUUAAGCUCGAAGGUGCGGGUAUCAAACAGG
rnacentral:rRNA from 1 species